rnacentral:lncRNA from 1 species
UUGGUAAUGAGCUGGGAAAUUAGUGAGUGCAUGGAACAGUCAAGAAGUUUGGGUGUUGCUUUGAUUACUACUACUGCUAUUGUUGCAAUAUUAGCAGAUGAGAAACCUAAGUCAAGCCAAACAGAAAUUCAAUAUCAAUAUUAUUAUUUUUUUAGAUCUGGGUAAUGAUGUGCACAGUGUGGGACUCUAAAGAGCAGCCCUUGAGCCCAAGCUCCCAUCCUAGAUGUAGCAGCGCUUCACUUAGGCUAAUGGGAACCGCUGCAAUUAAAACAGCAGCAGCCCACUGAAAGAAAACCCAGGCUCGUGGCUAGGCAGCCGUCUUAUAGGAUGAAAACCAGCAGUUUUUCAAAAGAUUGAGGGAUGUGCCUGUCCGACAGCUGUCCGACAGCAAAUCUACAGCAACUUCAGUGGGCUGUGGUUUAUCUUUUUAGCGUGCAUAAACACGGCUCUUUGUGCGUAGCUCUUAAAUGAACUGCUUUUCAGUGUGGUCGGUGUGGUGGCCUUCCCCCCUCACUGACUGCAUCUCUAACAAGGCCUCGCAGCUUUGGGGGAACUUACAGCUUUUCAUGUGCUUUAGGUGCUGGUGGCUGUGUGACCAUCGCCGUAUUCAAAACCCAUGGAUGGAAUCAGUGCCAAAGCUCCAGGAGGGCCUAAAUGAUGCAGGAUUCCCUACGAGUGUAGAUCUUCUCGGCACGGCAGCCAUAACACAGUGCAGAUCGGGGCAGGGGUGACCACAAGAUGCUCAUGACCGUGGGGCCUCAGGCGUGACUGUGACUGCUCAGUGCAAGGAAUGUGUCACUGUUCUGCUGGGCGUACCAGACACUUGUAAGUUCUUUAGAUUAAAACAGGCUGUUGGAAAACUUUCAGGUGUUGAGUUUCUUCGCUCAACUACUUGUAAACCCAUGUUUUUUUAUCACGUUUAACUGGCACAGUGGUCACUUACUUCACUAGGAGAGGAUCUGGGAGGAGCUGGGCUGCACUGAUGUGAUAAAUCCCUUCAUCCAUGGGAACUCCUGAUGGUUUUGACUGUUGCCUUGAACAUCUGCUGUCUUCCCUUUUGCAAAGUCAAUACUCAAAGGGAGCUGCUGCCUUGUGCUCUCUCUCAGGGUUUUGUGUGCUGGAGUAGCUCUUGUUUUCCACAAAUAUGGUCAUUUAAGUAAGGUGUGGUGCUUUAAUCACUGCUAAGUUGUAGAUGUUUAUUUUCUGUUGUUGUUUGUGACAGGUUAUCUGUGAUAAUUUUGUUAAUUGCCACUUGGAAGGAUCCCAAUUUUUUUCUCUGUAUGUAUUCCACACAUAAAAAUGUCACUUAACUUUACACCCAUUUGCAUGAAAUGCUACUGCUGCUUUGUUGGAGGAUUAGCUGGAACUGCUUGACAGGAGAGUGUGUUCCCAUAACGGGUAGUAUUCGUGCCUAUAAAUACAUUUAAACAGCAGAGCUGAGUUACUGGUGGUGGAGAACUAUCUGCAGGAGUCGGCAGGCUGUUCUGAAGCUCGUAGGGUGGAUGUGAGUGACAGCGUAUUCGAGCCCU